UACGAAGGGUGCAAGCGUUAUCCGGAUUCAUUGGGUUUAAAGGGUGCGUAGGCGGGGCGUUAAGUCAGUGGUGAAAUCUUGCAGCUCAACUGUAAACUUGCCAUUGAUACUGACGCUCUUGAGUGCGCUUGAAGUAGGCGGAAUGUGUCGUGUAGCGGUGAAAUGCUUAGAUAUGACACAGAACACCGAUUGCGAAGGCAGCUUACUAAGGCGAUACUGACGCUGAGGCACGAAAGCGUGGGGAUCAAACAGG
rnacentral:rRNA from 1 species